UACGUAGGGUGCAAGCGUUGUCCGGAAUUAUUGGGCGUAAAGAGCUCGUAGGCGGUUUGUCGCGUCUGCUGUGAAAACUCAGGGCUUAACCCUGAGCUUGCAGUGGGUACGGGCAGACUAGAGUGCGGUAGGGGAGACUGGAAUUCCUGGUGUAGCGGUGAAAUGCGCAGAUAUCAGGAGGAACACCGAUGGCGAAGGCAGGUCUCUGGGCCACUACUGACGCUGAGAAGCGAAAGCGUGGGGAGCGAACAGG
rnacentral:rRNA from 1 species